AGAGUUUGAUCCUGGCUCAGGACGAACGCUGGCGGCGCGCCUAACACAUGCAAGUCGAACGAGCGAGAGAGAGCUUGCUUUCUCGAGCGAGUGGCGAACGGGUGAGUAACGCGUGAGGAACCUGCCUCAAAGAGGGGGACGACAGUUGGAAACGACUGCUAAUACCGCAUAAGCCCACAGUGCCGCAUGGUACAGAGGGAAAAGGAGCAAUCCGCUUUGAGAUGGCCUCGCGUCCGAUUAGCUAGUUGGUGAGGUAACGGCCCACCAAGGCGACGAUCGGUAGCCGGACUGAGAGGUUGAACGGCCUCAUUGGGACUGAGACACGGCCCAGACUCCUACGGGAGGCAGCAGUGGGGAAUAUUGCACAAUGGGGGAAACCCUGAUGCAGCGACGCCGCGUGGAGGAAGAAGGUCUUCGGAUUGUAAACUCCUGUUGUUGGGGAAGAUAAUGACGGUACCCAACAAGGAAGUGACGGCUAACUACGUGCCAGCAGCCGCGGUAAAACGUAGGUCACAAGCGUUGUCCGGAAUUACUGGGUGUAAAGGGAGCGCAGGCGGGAAGACAAGUUGGAAGUGAAAUCUAUGGGCUCAACCCAUAAACUGCUUUCAAAACUGUUUUUCUUGAGUAGUGCAGAGGUAGGCGGAAUUCCCGGUGUAGCGGUGGAAUCGUAGAUAUCGGGAGGAACACCAGUGGCGAAGGCGGCCUACUGGGCACCAACUGACGCUGAGGCUCGAAAGUGUGGGUAGCAAACAGGAUUAGAUACCCUGGUAGUCCACACCGUAAACGAUGAUUACUAGGUGUUGGAGGAUUGACCCCUUCAGUGCCGCAGUUAACACAAUAAGUAAUCCACCUGGGGAGUACGACCGCAAGGUUGAAACUCAAAGGAAUUGACGGGGGCCCGCACAAGCAGUGGAGUAUGUGGUUUAAUUCGACGCAACGCGAAGAACCUUACCAAGUCUUGACAUCCCUUGACAGGCAUAGAAAUAUGUUUUCUCUUCGGAGCAAGGAGACAGGUGGUGCAUGGUUGUCGUCAGCUCGUGUCGUGAGAUGUUGGGUUAAGUCCCGCAACGAGCGCAACCCUUAUGGUCAGUUACUACGCAAGAGGACUCCGGCCAGACUGCCGUUGACAAAACGGAGGAAGGUGGGGAUGACGUCAAAUCAUCAUGCCCUUUAUGACUUGGGCUUCACACGUACUACAAUGGCGUUAAACAAAGAGAAGCAAGACCGCGAGGUGGAGC
rnacentral:rRNA from 1 species